GCGCAGCAGUCGAGAAUAUUCGGCAAUGGGCGAAAGCCUGACCGAGCGACGCCGCGUGCGGGAUGAAGGCCUUCGGGUUGUAAACCGCUUUUCUAAGGGAAAAAAUUGUGUCUCACUGUUGUUUGGAGAAAAAAAUAAUAAGAAUAAGAUGGGUGGCCGUAGAGUUCCGUGACUUCCGCAGGUUUUCAUAAAAAUACCAAAUUACAGUGAGGCACAAAUUGAUGGUACCUUAGGAAUAAGA
rnacentral:rRNA from 1 species